CCGCCGACACCAAAACCCUAAAAAAGAAAAAGAAAAACGAACACCUCUCGUCGAUCAGUUGCUCGAUCUUAGUCUGGUACCUUCGAAAUUCUCAUGGUACCUUCAACCCUCCAUUGAAAUCGAAAUUCUCACAGUACCCUCUGAAUUGCGGAAGAUUACAAGCUUUCUCACUUUCACCAGGUCCGUGAUGCGUUUGGAGAUUAUGGUGGUUGAAGAAAGGAAUCAAAGCUCCUUCAACAUUGAAGCCCAUCUUCUUGAAUUUAUAGGCUUUGAAUUGCCUUUCUUUUGAAGAUGAUAUUUUAGAAUAAUAGGUCAAUUGGAGUUGUAAUAUACAUUGAAGACGUUAUGCGCUUGUGUUUUGGUAUACUAGGUAAAUAGUUUGGAUCAUAUGUAAACUUUGAUGAUAUGUUUAUGACGUAUUAUUAUAUAAUUUAAUAUAAGUAUAUAUAUCUUUAAGUUA